rnacentral:rRNA from 1 species
UACGUAGGGUGCAAGCGUUGUCCGGAAUUAUUGGGCGUAAAGAGCUCGUAGGCGGUUUGUCGCGUCGAAUGUGAAAACCCGGGGCUUAACUCUGGGCUUGCGGUCGAUACGGGCAUCACUGGAGUUCGGCAGGGGAGACUGGAAUUCCUGGUGUAGCGGUGAAAUGCGCAGAUAUCAGGAAGAACACCAAUGGCGAAGGCAGCUCUCUGGGACGGUACUGACGCUGAGACGCGAAAGCGUGGGGAGCGAACAGG